rnacentral:rRNA from 1 species
UACGUAGGGGGCAAGCGUUCUCCGGAUUUAUUGGGCGUAAAGUGCAUGCAGGCGGUCUACCAAGUUCGUAUUGACAAUUCUUGGCUUAACCAAGAGAGAGGUACGAAAACUAGCAGACUUGAGAGCAAUAGAGGGACACGGAAUUCCAGGUGGAGCGGUGAAAUGCGUAGAGAUCUGGAGGAACACCAAAGGCGAAGGCAGUGUCCUGGGUUGUUUCUGACGCUCAGAUGCGAAAGCUAGGGGAGCGAACGGG